GACGAACGCUGGCGGCGUGCUUAACACAUGCAAGUCGAACGGAAAGGCCCUGCUUUUGUGGGGUGCUCGAGUGGCGAACGGGUGAGUAACACGUGAGUAACCUGCCCUUGACUUUGGGAUAACUUCAGGAAACUGGGGCUAAUACCGGAUAGGAGCUCCUGCUGCAUGGUGGGGGUUGGAAAGUUUCGGCGGUUGGGGAUGGACUCGCGGCUUAUCAGCUUGUUGGUGGGGUAGUGGCUUACCAAGGCUUUGACGGGUAGCCGGCCUGAGAGGGUGACCGGCCACAUUGGGACUGAGAUACGGCCCAGACUCCUACGGGAGGCAGCAGGGGGGAAUAUUGCACAAUGGGCGGAAGCCUGAUGCAGCAACGCCGCGUGCGGGAUGACGGCCUUCGGGUUGUAAACCGCGUUCGCCUGUGACGAAGCGUGAGUGACGGUAAUGGGUAAAGAAGCACCGGCUAACUACGUG
rnacentral:rRNA from 1 species